rfam:Oryza rufipogon genomic scaffold, chr02
AAUAAAUACAGUUUUACACUAUUCAUGUCUAACGGUUGACGGUUCGUCUUAUUUGAAUUUUUUUAUGAUUAUUAUUUUUAUUAUUAUUAGAUGAUAAAACAUGAAUAUACUUUAUGUGUGACUAAUUUUAAAACAAAUUCAUAAAAUUUUCAAAUAAGAUUGACGAUCAGACACGGAUUUCCACGAUUGCACUUAUU